UCCGUUAUGGUGUAGUGGCUAACAUUAUCGCCUCUCAUCAGACUGUUACUGGUUGGUGCGCGAUAGCCCAGGGUUCGAUUCCCUGUAACGGAA